rnacentral:lncRNA from 1 species
UUCGAUCCUCUUCCUCGCAAAGAAAUGGCCAUCAACUUUGUCGUUCCUGAGGUCAAUCUCCCAUCCUUUUUCUUUUCGCACUUUUUUGCUGUACUCCUACUCAUCUGCGAUUCCUUUUACUGAGUAUCCCGUUUUUUCUUUUUGUUCUUUUAUCCAAAACUUUUAGGAUUUGGCCGAUAAGAUUGUAAUUUCCACCGAUCAACCUCACUUUCAAUGUCUCGGCCCGUUAGG